ACACAUAAAACUAGUAUAUUGCCUUGAACAUGGUUUAUUAGGAAAGACAUGAGAACAUAUCUGAACAUAGUUUUUCCUUAUAUACAAUGUUCAAAGUAAUGAAUUAGUUUUAUUUUGU